CUGAGCCGUAUGAGGUAGGAAACUCUCAAGUACGGUUCUACGGGAAGGAAUUGACCCACCUAUUCUGAC
rnacentral:ncRNA from 1 species